ACGGCCAUACCACAUUGAAAACACCGGUUCUCGUCUGAUCACCGAAGUUAAGCAAUGUCGGGCCUGGUCAGUACUUGGGAGGGUGACCACCUGGGAACACCGGGUGCUGUAGGCU